rnacentral:rRNA from 1 species
UACGUAGGUGGCAAGCGUUGUCCGGAAUUAUUGGGCGUAAAGCGCGCGCAGGUGGUUCCUUAAGUCUGAUGUGAAAGCCCACGGCUCAACCGUGGAGGGUCAUUGGAAACUGGGGAACUUGAGUGCAGAAGAGGAAAGUGGAAUUCCACGUGUAGCGGUGGAAUGCGUAGAGAUCGGGAGGAACACCAGUGGCGAAGGCGGCUACCUGGACCAGCACUGACACUGAGGCACGAAAGCGUGGGGAGCAAACAGG